rnacentral:rRNA from 1 species
CCUACGGGGGGCAGCAGUGAGGAAUAUUGGUCAAUGGGCGCAAGCCUGAACCAGCCAUGCCGCGUGCAGGAAGACGGCCCUACGGGUUGUAAACUGCUUUUCCGGGGGAAGAAUAGGCGCGCUGCGGCGCGCGAUGCCGGUACCCCGGGAAUAAGGAUCGGCUAACUCCGUGCCAGCAGCCGCGGUAAUACGGAGGAUCCGAGCGUUAUCCGGAUUUACUGGGUUUAAAGGGUGCGUAGGCGGGCUCCUAAGUCAGCGGUGAAAGGCGGCGGCUCAACCGUCGGAAUGCCGUUGAUACUGGGGGCCUUGGAUGCGGUCGAGGCGGGUGGAAUGCGCGGUGUAGCGGUGAAAUGCUUAGAUAUCGCGCAGAACGCCGAUUGCGAAGGCAGCUCGCCAGGCCGUGAUCGACGCUGAGGCACGAAAGCGUGGGGAUCGAACAGGCUUAGAUACCCUUGUAGUC